rnacentral:misc_RNA from 1 species
AAGGAUCAUUAUCACAAUUAAUUCAAAACCUAAAUAUAGUUGGAAGCGCUCGUCCCACUCUCUCCUAAGUUUUUUUGGGGGGGCGGGGGAAUGGGCAAACCUUUUCGAACUUUAUUUUAGAAUUGGCUUUAAAAACUAAGCCAAAAAAAAAAUAAAAAUGAAAAAUUUUCAACGGUGGAUAUCUAGGUUCCCGUAACGAUGAAGAACGCAGCGAAAUGCGAUACGCAAUGCGAAUUGCAGAACCCGCGAGUCAUCAGAUCUUUGAACGCAAGUGGCGCCGAUCAUAUCGGCAUGUUUGUUUCAGUGUGGAAGGAAUCACAAAUCAAAAUGCGAUUGACCCCACUCUCCUCAAAAGAGAAGGGGGUACUCUCGUUAAACAAGUCGGGCUAACAUUUGCGAGAACUCUGCAGAUUCGCCGCGCGAAUGAAGUAGUCUCAUCUUAUGUGAGAUCUCGUGCGCGUUUUUCAAAGGCGAAAUUAAAACUCUGCCUAGAGCUCAACAAAGCAGACCGCAAAAAUUUGGACUAGGGACGUAAAGUUUCUUAUAUCCAACACCCCCCCUAUACCACCUGAAAUCAAGCAAGACGACCCGCUGAACUUAA